rnacentral:lncRNA from 1 species
GAACUUAAUCAUGUCCUAGACAGCCCACCCUCAAGGCCAUCUCAUUGAAAGGGCUUGGACAUAAAUUUUAGCUCAGUGAUUUCGCCACCUGCUGAGCAAACGCAAGGACCCGAGUUCGAUCCCCGGUACCAAAACAACAACAACAACAACAACAACAAAAAUUACGAUUCUCCUGCCACAGCUUCCUGAGUAGCUGGCCUCACAGCAGGGAGCCCCUAUUCAGCUGAGGACAAGGAAGCAGGGAGCCAUGAUUGGAAGAAACACCAUUGAUGCAGCUGGGUCUUCCAAGUCAGCCAGGAGCCACUGUCCACCUGCCAGCCUAGAUCUGCACAGAGCAGCCCACAGGCCAGGCCACCGCCUUCUGACUUCACAGGGCCAAUUAGACAGCUGCCUCUCUGCAGCCACUUCCUGCAAGCGCUCCCACACAGAAGCAUUUCACUGGUUAAAAAGAAGUGCCAGUUUCUUUGAAAGGGUAAAUUAAAGUGUAAAUACAUGCAUCACCCCUGCAGGAC